UGAAUAUAAAGAAAAAGCUAGAGUGCUUACCAACCAGACAACAAACAAACCAAAAGCAGCUAAACAACUGUUUAAGAAAAUUGUUAGCCAGAUAGUUGAAAUUGGAGGGUACAACGUAGAUGUUGUUAUUAUGGGAAUUGAUAAAAAUGAUGGGCAACAGCUUUUUUUAGGAGAAAGAAAAACUGCAGCAUUCUUUAAUGCCCGUCCUAAAAUAUUGGAGGAGUUGUACUCAAAUCAUUCUUUUGGAACUGAAAGUACAGAUCAGAAACUUGUCUUGAAAGACUUGAGGAAAAAGGCACAAGCUCAUAUGAACAG